GCCAAAAACCUAGCCCCACCACAAUCUAAUGAACUACAAAAACUAACUCAACUAACCAAAACAUUUUUAUAUUUUAGUAAAGGCGAUUAAAAAAAUUCUAUGGAGCUAUAAUGACAGUACCGCAAGGGAAAAGUGAAAUAAUAAUGAAAUAAUUUUAAGUACACUAAAGUAGAGAUUUAACCUCGUACCUUUUGCAUCAUGGUUUAACUAGUCAAAUCAAGCGAAACGACUUACAGUCUGACCUCCCGAAACUAAGCGAGCUACUUCAGGGCAGCUUAUUGAGCAAACCCGUCUCUGUUGCAAAAGAGUGGGAAGACCCUCAAGUAGCGGUGAUAGACCUAACGAGCUUAGUGAUAGCUGGUUAUUCAAGAAAAGGAUUUUAGUCCAGCCUAAAGAACCAUUAAUAAUCUUAAUAUAACACUACUUUAGAGUAAUUCAAAUAAGGUACAGCCUAUUUGAAUCAGGAUACAACCUCAAUCAAAGGGUAAUUAUACGUUUUAACAACCAAGUAGGCCCAAAAGCAGCCAUCUUUAAAAUAGCGUCAAAGCUUAAUUGUUUAUACUACUAAUCCCAAAAAUAACUUAGAACCCUUCACUACUAUUGAAUAAUUCUAUAUAUUUAUAGAACAUUUUAUGUUAAAACUAGUAACAAGAAGAAGACCUUCUCUUAAAUGUAAAUGUAAGUCAAAAAGGACUAACCAGUGACUAUUAACACCAAUGAACAAAAAUUAACAACUCACAAGAAAACCUUACUUUUUAUUAUGUUAACCUAACACAAGAACAUUUCAAGAAAGAUUAAAAGAAAAAGAAGGAACUCGGCAAAAAUUAACCUCGCCUGUUUACCAAAAACAUCGCCUCUUGAGUAUACUUAUAAGAGGUCCAGCCUGCCCAGUGACUCUGUUCAACGGCCGCGGUAUCCUAACCGUGCGAAGGUAGCGUAAUCACUUGUUCUUUAAAUAAGGACUAGUAUGAAUGGCACCACGAAGGUUACACUGUCUCCUUUUUCUAAUCAGUGAAACUAAUCUCCCCGUGAAGAAGCGAGGAUUUAAGUAUAAGACGAGAAGACCCUAUGGAGCUUUAAACUAAAUAACACUUGCUCUUAUAUUCCUAUAUUUGAGAAUACUAACACCUAUUUUAGCUUUAUGAUUUUUAGUUUUAGGUUGGGGUGACCGCGGAGCAAAACAAAACCCUCCACAUUGGAAUGGGGUUUCACACCCUGAGCAACGAGCUACAACUCUACGCACCAAUAAAUUGACAUAAAUUGACCCAAUAUUUUGAUCAACGAACCAAGUUACCCUAGGGAUAACAGCGCAAUCCGCUUCAAGAGCUCCUAUCGACAAGCGGGUUUACGACCUCGAUGUUGGAUCAGGGUAUGCCCAGUGGUG
rnacentral:rRNA from 1 species